rnacentral:rRNA from 1 species
AUUGAACGCUGGCGGCAGGCCUAACACAUGCAAGUCGAACGAGUGGCGGACGGGUGAGUAAUGUCUGGGAAACUGCCUGAUGGAGGGGGAUAACUACUGGAAACGGUAGCUAAUACCGCAUACCAUCGGAUGUGCCCAGAUGGGAUUAGCUAGUAGGUGGGGUAAAGGCUCACCUAGGCGACGAUCCCUAGCUGGUCUGCGAGGAUGACCAGCCACACUAGAACUGGGACACGGUCCAGACUCCUACGGGAGGCAGCAGUGGGGAAUAUUGCACAAAGGGCGCGAGCCUGAUGCAACCAUGCCGGGUGUAUGAAAAAGGCCUUUGGGGUGUGAAGUACUUUCAGCGGGGGGGCGUUACCCGCAGAAGAAGCACCGGCUAACUCCGUGCCAGCAGCCGCGGUAAUAC